GACCAUGGCUGAGACUCCUGGGGUCUCAUUUAUAAAACUGUGCGUGGGAUCGUUACUAAAAAUGUGCGUACGCCCAGAAGCCAAGUUUUGCGUGCGCCAAAAAAAUAUUCGGAUUUAUAAAACACUGCGUACGCACACCUGUACGCAAUCUUUGCUUUAUAAAUCACAUACUGACUACAAUUGUGCGCAGCUGAAUCAGCUUCACGUUCCGCCCUCUACACGCCCCUUUUUAACCAUAAAUGGUCAAUGCAAAUGACCUCAUGAAUGCGAUCUGCAUAUAAAACAGACUCAGAUGCCAGUAUUAUGUCUUGUUGGAAACAAUGGCAGGACAGAGAAAAGCCAAAAAAAGAAACUUCACGGAGGUUGAGGUGGAGACACUUGUGGGUGAGGUGGAGGCCCGAAAAUAAAUUUUGUUCGGCGGUCACGGGAUCGGGAUCACCAACAUUAAAAAACAGAAUGAGUGGCAACAUGUUGCUGCGGCAGUGAACGCUGUCAGUGGUACGGAGCGCACAGUACCCGAAUUGAAAAAGAAGUGGUCCGACAUAAAGGUAAUUUUUUAUUUCCUCACGCACAGCACAUGUUUAUAAUUAAUUGCUCAAAUGUUACUGGUCGUAUAGUGAAGAUCGUUAAUUACAGGUGGGUGCAAAGCAGAGGCUGUCCUCACACCGCCAGAGCGUGACUGCAACUGGAGGGGGACCCAGUACUCCUGACCUAACACCAAUUGACACGAAAGUUGCAUCCAUAAUUGGCACCGCAAGCGUGAGUGGCAUCGUGUCCGAAAGGGAAGGAGACGCUGACAACACAGAAGAACAAGAGUCAGCGGUCGGUGGGGAGGAGGACGAUGAUGCCGGCGAGGGGCCCUCGGCCGCAGGUCAUCCGGCUGCCCCCACCCCCAGCACCAAGCGUCAGUCCGCUGGUCGGGUCCUCACAGACGCAGUUCUGCAGCUACAGAGGGAAACGAUAGAUGCAGUCAACAACUUGACUGAGGAGAUGAGGCAGAUUCGAAAUGUUAUCACCGAAAUUCCCACAAUAUUAAAAGAUACUGUGAAAAAAUGAA